rnacentral:rRNA from 1 species
CGCAUCUGUGCAUGCAGCAUAUCAAUAAGCGGAGGAAAAGAAACUAACAAGGAUUCCCCUAGUAACGGCGAGUGAAGCGGGAAGAGCUCAAAUUUGAAAUCUUAAAGGGUUUCCCUUUACGAAUUGUAGUUUAAAGAAGUGUUUUCUGUUGAGGUUUUGGUAAAAGUUCUUUGGAAUAGGACAUCAUAGAGGGUGAGAAUCCCGUAUUUGGACCUUUACUUUCAACUUUGUGAUACACUUUCAAAGAGUCGGAUUGUUUGGGAAUGCAGUCCAAAAUGGGUGGUAAAUUUCAUCUAAAGCUAAAUAUUGGCGAGAGACCGAUAGCGAACAAGUACCGUGAGGGAAAGAUGAAAAGAACUUUGAAAAGAGAGUUAAACAGUACGUGAAAUUGUCAAAAGGGAAGCGUUUGACACCAGUGUUGUUUUUCUGAAAAUCAAUUAAAGAACUGUUUAUGCUAAGCUGUUUAGACUUUAUCAGCUAACUGUUUAGUUUUGAGCUUUUCUUAAUGCACUUUUCAGUUAACAAGUCAACAUCAAUUUCUUUUGCUGUAAAAAAGCUUGAGGAAGGUGGCUUGAGAUUCGUCUUAAGUGUUUAUAGCCUCUUGCCUAUGCAGUCGGAGAGAUUGAGGUCUGCAGCGUAGAUCCUUCGGGGCUAAAUGCAUUUGUGCUAAGUUAUAGCAUUUUAUAGACAACUUGUUGACUAUGAUUUGUCUUGUAGCUUACUCGCUUAUGUUAUUUUACCUACGCUUAGGAUGUUGAGCGCAUGUCUCUCUCU